ensembl:snRNA U6 U6 spliceosomal RNA
GAGCUCGCUUCAGGCAGCACAUAUACUAAAAUCAGAAGGAUGCAGAGAAGGUUAUCAUGGCCCCUGUGCAAAGAUGACACGCAAAUUCCUGAGUUACACACUCAUUUG